UGGGUGACCUGGCCUGAAGUGAGGGAUACCGGCGAGAAAUCGCCGACAAGCCCGCAUAGGUUCUUUUGCGUAGAGGCAAGAGAGCAAAGGUCCUUUUCGGAGGGCUGCUUUGGGAUGGGCCUGUGGCCGAUUAGCUAGUUGGGGGGGUAAGAGCCUCCCAAGGCGACGAUCGGUAGCUGGUCUGAGAGGACGAUCAGCCACACUGGGAUUGAGAACGGCCCAG
rnacentral:rRNA from 1 species